rnacentral:lncRNA from 1 species
UGUGCCAAGACUAAUAUAUUUUUCUCUAUCUUUGUUUCUAAUAACAUGCCAUAAAACUUGAACUCAUCUCUUUUUAUUUAAAAUAUUGUAGAAUAACAUGCAUGGUUGUGCUAUUUCACGCAUAGUGUGUUGGUGAGAGAGAAUUAAGUAUUGGUAGCCAUUUGUCACUGGAGUGUCUCUAUAUGCUUGCUAGCAUGAAUUCUUUGUGAAAGCGUGAAAUCGGUAUAAUGAAAUGAAUGAUAUUAGUAGCACAUAGUGCAAUGAUCCAGGGGAGUGUAGGCCAUUAGGCCACUAGUGCUACCAAUGGCUUUGUGUGAAUUCUCGUCGCGGCCAUGGAAUGGAAGCAUUUCUAGGAUUUUGUUAGAGUGGGGCGGGGAGAUGUGAGGUGGAUUGCGUUGGGAGGUCGAGGAAUGCGAGCAAUUUCAGAAGCGUAGGGUUUUGACUCUUCGCGCACUGAAGUGAGUACGUCGCCGCUGUUCGUUGCAGUGGUGUGAAGUUGAAGUGCAGGAGUUGGAUUUUUAUGAGGUGGGUUUGAGGGUUUGGUGGCUUCUAAGUGAAGUGGAUGCCAAAGUUUAGAUUUUUCCCAGGUAUUGUUGCUGCAAUGGACGUCCUUGGCCAAAAUCUGUGACCCUAAGGGUUUUAUUACGGCGAACGGUAGCUUAGGGUGCAGUCUCAAGUAAUCAUACGCUGACUUUUGUUUUUAGGAUUUUUUUGUCGUGGUUGAAUGUGAAAAAAUUGGGAACUAGUGUUGUGGUGGGCGAGAGAUGAGGAUGAGGUGAAAGUUGAGGUUGCCGUUUUGGCACCUCAUGUGAAGCGGGUGGAGGGAACUGAAGUGAAUAAGAGAGCUUUUAAGGUUAGUCGGAUCAGUUGAGAGAGCGGUGGUGAGAACAGUAGACAAUCAGAUAUGGUGGAGGAGAUGAUUGGUGAGAGAUGAUGGUUUGUGGCAUGAGAAGAGUCAUGGUGUCAGUAAUUAGUUGUAGAAGCUUUGGGUUGGAGAUUGUAUCACGUCUUGGAUUAUCUCAUAGAAUGACUGACCAAAGUGGCACCAAACAGCAAUGAGGUAUGCGUGUGUUAAAGAGCUGUGAAAGGUUGGGAUGAUUGGUACGAUUCAAGUGUAGGUUUAAGACUAAAGAACCAAUCUAAGAUCUAAACAAGGCUCUCGGACCUGAACCUGAGAAAAUAAAGAUUUGGGGAGCUUGCAGUGAAACAGAUGUCAUUUUGGAUGGUUUAUAACUCGCAAGUAUGUAUAUUUGGUUAAUUAUUUUGGUUGGAUUUGUUCAUUUGUUUGUCUCUUACAAAAGGGGGAUAUGUUGUAGGGAUUUUUAUAAUUUGGUUUAUACCUGUACCUGGAUGGAUGAAUUUUGAAGGUUGUGUUGUGUUUGCAACAAAGACAAAAACUUGCUCCAAUUUAGUAUCUGAUAGAAGAAUGCAUCGCGAAGCUAUUUGACGACGUCCUCUUCUCUGAACAGUCUUAGCCAAGAUCCGUGGUUAAUGCGUACACAUGAUUGAUGUUAUGCUUAGAGCGGAAGAGCAUACGUGAGGAUUCGAGGCUGUACUGUGCACUGUACGGAUAAUCUUGCAAGUGAAACAAACAUGAGAUUUGUGCAAGCAGAUAUUUGACAAUUUUUGAAGCAAUGUGUUGAUUGGGGGUGGAAUUUCUGAAAGUAGGAGCCGCUUGAUAUUAGUUUUUACCACA